CUACGGGAGGCAGCAGUGGGGAAUUUUGCACAAUGGGGGAAACCCUGAUGCAGCGACGCCGCGUGGAGGAUGAAGGCCUUCGGGUUGUAAACUCCUUUUGUAGGGGACAAUGAUGAUGGUACCCUAUGAAUAAGCCACGGCUAACUCUGUGCCAGCAGCCGCGGUAAGACAGAUGUGGCGAGCGUUGUUCGGAAUCACUGGGCUUAAAGGGCGCGUAGGUGGUAGUACAAGUCUGAUGUGGAAUCUUAGGGCUUAACCCUAAAAUUGCAUUGGAAACUGUAUUACUUGAGUCAGUGAGGGGAGGGUAGAAUUCAUGGUGUAGCGGUGAAAUGCGUAGAUAUCAGGAGGAAGGCCUGUGGCGAAGGCGGCCCUCUGGCGCUGAACUGACACUGAGGCGCGAAAGCGUGGGUAGCAAACAGGAUUAGAUACCCCGGU
rnacentral:rRNA from 1 species